ACCGCACAAAAGCAAAACAGGGUAGUGCGCUACUAUAUGCCCAGGGCCGGCGCUACCAUUAGGCAGCUUUAGGCAGCUGCCUAGAGCGCCGGCCACCAGAGGGCGGCACAUAAUCAUUUCCACAAAAAAGUAAAGUUGUCCUACUUUUACAUGACAUCGGCAGCUGUGGGUCCUAUCAGCCACAGCCGCCCCUACAGUAUGUCCGAGUCCGACCCCACUGUAAUCCAUCACCCCACACUGGUGGUCAGGCGCUUGGAUCUACUGAGAUAUCAGCUACAGCGUAAUCAGACACAGACAGCAGGCAGCUAAGGGGCGUGUGCACAUGAUGAAGUGAAUGCCCCGUCCUAGCUCCUCUAUCUGCUCUUCCUCCUCUCAGCCUCAGAUCUCUCACACACAAGGCAGGACCUGCUCUCUGCUCUGGAGGAGGUGGGAGUAGUGUGUGCACGUAUUGCAUAGAGCUCCAGACUGCAGUGCAGCAAGAGAAUGCAUGAUCCAUGUGCAGCAGCAACUGCGGCGACUUUCCAAGAGAAAAAGAUCUAACGCGACAUUGUCACUCUAAAGCCUCCUGUUCGUGAGAGCUGGUCGUGAUUUUAUGUGAGAGUCUAUUGAAGUGUAAAAUGUUCUUUGCGGUUAUUGGGCUUUCAAGCCGGAACUGGUCUAGAAGCACCUCCAUCAUCGUCUGGGAAGAAACAGCAACUAGCAACUGUGUGAUCAGCAAUGUGUUAUCUAGUUUGGAGGAGGGAACUUUCUCAUUCAUGAUGAGUCACUGGUCUGUUCGUAUGCUAAACAGGUUCAGCCUUGAAGACAUCAAAAGGGUCUGGCCUGAGUUUCCUGUCCAUUGUCCUAAUAAGAGUGAUUUUAGCUUUCAUACAUUUAAUCAUAACUAUUUGUUGCAAUGUCCUACAACUUAAUAACAAGUACCAAAUGAAUCUACACAUUAAUCUGCUUGCUUUAAUACCAAAUAAUAAGGCCUAUCUUGCUUCGUUCCAAUAAUACACAUACAUGACAUUACUCCAUUAUAUAAUGUUAAAUCAUUAUGAUGUCUGGCGCUUGAUAUUAUUAUAAUUAUGUAC